rnacentral:tRNA from 2 species
GGGCCACUAGCUCAGUCGGUUAGAGCGCGCCUCUGAUAAGGGCGAGGUCAUUGGUUCGAUUCCAAUGUGGCCCACCA